rnacentral:rRNA from 1 species
UGCCAGCCGCCGCGGUAAUACGAAGGGGGCUAGCGUUGUUCGGAAUCACUGGGCGUAAAGCGCACGUAGGCGGACUGGUCAGUCAGGGGUGAAAUCCCGGGGCUCAACCCCGGAACUGCCUUUGAUACUUCCAGUCUUGAGUUCGAGAGAGGUGAGUGGAAUUCCGAGUGUAGAGGUGAAAUUCGUAGAUAUUCGGAGGAACACCAGUGGCGAAGGCGGCUCACUGGCUCGAUACUGACGCUGAGGUGCGAAAGCGUGGGGAGCAAACAGGAUUAGAUA